rnacentral:tRNA from 1 species
ACUUAAAUAGUUUAAUUUAAAACAUUGAUUUGUGGUGUCAAAGAUAUAUUUUGUUUAAUAUAUUUUAAGUU